UUCCAGACUCCUACGGGAGGCAGCAGUGGGGAAUAUUGCACAAUGGGGGAAACCCUGAUGCAGCGACGCCGCGUGAGUGAAGAAGUAUUUCGGUAUGUAAAGCUCUAUCAGCAGGGAAGAUAAUGACGGUACCUGACUAAGAAGCCCCGGCUAACUACGUGCCAGCAGCCGCGGUAAUACGUAGGGGGCAAGCGUUAUCCGGAUUUACUGGGUGUAAAGGGUGCGUAGGUGGGAUGGCAAGUCAGAAGUGAAAGGCCGGGGCUCAACCCCGCGGACUGCUUUUGAAACUGUCAGGCUGGAGUACAGGAGAGGUAAGCGGAAUUCCUAGUGUAGCGGUGAAAUGCGUAGAUAUUAGGAGGAACACCAGUGGCGAAGGCGGCUUACUGGACUGUAACUGACACUGAGGCACGAAAGCGUGGGGAGCAAACAGGAUUAGAUACCCGAGUA
rnacentral:rRNA from 1 species